UACGUAGGGCGCAAGCGUUAUCCGGAAUUAUUGGGCGUAAAGGGCGCGUAGGCGGCCAUGCGUGUCUUCCGUGAAAUCCCUCGGCUUAACUGAGGACGUGCGGAAGAAACUGCAAGGCUUGAGUCCGGGAGAGGGGGGUGGAAUUCCCAGUGUAGCGGUGAAAUGCGUAGAUAUUGGGAGGAACACCGGUGGCGAAGGCGGCCCCCUGGACCGGUACUGACGCUGAGGCGCGAAAGCGUGGGUAGCAAACGGG
rnacentral:rRNA from 1 species